rnacentral:rRNA from 1 species
CCUACGGGUGGCAGCAGUAGGGAAUUUUUCGCAAUGGACGAAAGUCUGACGGAGCAAUGCCGCGUGAGUGAUGAAGGUUUUCGGAUCGUAAAGCUCUGUUGUAAGGGAAGAAUAUGUGAGUUAGGAAAUGAACUCAUAGUGACGGUACCUUACCAGAAAGGGACGGCUAACUACGUGCCAGCAGCCGCGGUAAUACGUAGGUCCCGAGCGUUAUCCGGAAUUAUUGGGCGUAAAGAGCAUGUAGGCGGUUAAUUAAGUCUGGUGUGAAAUCUAGUGGCUCAACCACUAAAUUGCAUUGGAAACUGGUUAACUAGAAUACUGGAGGGGCAAGUGGAAUUCAAUGUGUAGCGGUGGAAUGCGUAGAUAUAUUGAGGAACACCAAUGGCGAAGGCAGCUUGCUGGACAGAGAUUGACGCUGAGAUGCGAAAGUGUGGGGAGCAAACAGGAUUAGAUACCCCGGUAGUC